rnacentral:tRNA from 1 species
AGUAUAGUGGUUAGUACUCCACGUUGUGGCCGUGGCGACGCAAGUUCGAUUCCUGC